CCUUGUAACCAAGUGCACUGCUGUCAUUCAGGAGCCGAGCCCGCCCCCAGAGUGACCUUCCUCAGCGGACACGCCCCGUCCACCUGUUCCACAGGUGCGCCCGGCAAGAUGGCGGCGGGGCGAGUUUCUGCGGAGUGAGGACGCCGAAAUGAGUCUUCUGUCCGUUUGAGCGUGCUCUCGAAGUUUUAAAAGUCUGCAUUCAGCGUUCUUAUACUACCUUUCACGUGACAAACGCAUUUUAAGAACGGACCUCCGUCUAUGAAAGUGUUUUUUUUCCUAAUUUCUGCGGCUCCUGGUUCUCUGCGCUCCACAGGUGCGCCCGGCAAGAUGGCGGCGGGGCGAGUUUCUGCGGCGUGAGGACGCCGAAAAGUAUUCUGUCCGUUUGAGCGUGCUCUCGAAGAUUUAGAGAUCUGGAUUCAGCGUUUUUAUACUGCCUUUCAUGUGACAAAUGGAUUUCAAGAACGGACCUCCACUUAUGAAAGUGUUUUUUCCUAG